ensembl:lncRNA
CGCACCCACACACAGUAAGGAGAAUUGAAUGAAGACAUUCUUCGUUCUGAAGCAUGAAUCUAAAUCAUUCAAAUCAGACUCAUCCCUUUAAAUAAAAUGAGAUAGGUCAAUAAGAUCACACAGAGCUGAAAUAGACUCUCACUGUUACCAAGAUGACCAGAGGACGCCAAACCUGCGUUGAGUUUUACUUAUUAGCUCACCUGCUUGCGCGUGCCAAGUGGUUUUCUUAAUUUGGGUAAUUGGUUGCAUCUGGUGCGGGUCACUUAAAAGGGAACCGGGCAGCACGUUGUUGUCCUCCAAUGUUUGGCAGUGUAGCGUCUCCCAAACGCGGUUAAAGACUUUUUGAAGUAAAGAGGCGCAUCUCAUCUGGACCUGAUGUGUCUAUCAUGGAUUUUUAACUGCAGUUCUGUGAGUAUCCCAACUUAACCAUGAAGAUGAACUGCGAACUGUAAGUCAUUAGUUUCUCAUUACUCUUGGGCACAUUAAUGUAUUUUGGCUUCCUGGUGAGUUCACCUGUUAGCUGAAGGUUGAUCUGAGUAUUAAGGAUGUUUUAUUGGUUCAUGGGUUACUUAGGUGUUUGGUUUAUGUUGGUUUUAAUGGUUUGUUAAAAUGGUUACAGGUUCUAAGUUAUUGUUGUAAGCUGGAGUAAUGGGUUUGGUUCUGAUGUCUUCAGUCUUCUUUCCAUCUACUCUCCUGAGCUCUGCAUGUUCAUCACAUGAGUGUUGCUUUACUGAUGGUGUGCUUGCUCUGGGUGUGGUCUGAGCAAGCAGAGGUGCAUACUGGGAUACAGAGCUGUCUGAAGUCUACAGGUCUGUAGACACGCCCCCUCAGGGGAAAACGAGUGUUUGAGAAACCGUUGUGACGUCAGUUACAUGGACUAGAAUGUUCUUUAAGAUGGAGACUGGGAUUCAGAAGGAGAAACAUCAGGGGGAGAUGAAGGGGCUCCUCAUCUCAACGACUAAAACACAACUUCAGUCUGACGCAGAACCAUGGAACACAUUCAACAGUCCCCUCCAGGAAUCGUGACUCCUCAGGAUUUCCAAGAAGGUCUUAUUUGGGGCCAUUCCAAGAUGGAUCCUGCUCCUCAAGAGCGACCCCCUUCCACUGGGUGGUCUUCUGAACAGAUGACCUCCUUCCUGUCCUCAGGCUGACUAAAGCUGCACCGUUCGCAUCUGUGAAGGCCCCUCAUUCAGGAAACCACUGGACUACAAAGACAUGACUUCAGAGACGUUGAAUCAACCUGGGACACAUUUUGGAGACACCAGGCAUAAUCCAUCACCAGUGUGGGACGCCACUGAAGAAUGUUGUACAUAAUUUACGUCUCUGGAGACAUUGAUUGAUUGUUCUGGGUGUCCUGGCAGGAGAGCUGGGGUUGGAUGAUGGAAUGUUAUUUGGCAUGAGGUUUUUACCGUGUGUGCCUGCCUGCCUGUUAUACGUGUGCUUGGUUCAAUCUGGCAGGGGGUUCGACGUGUGCUUGGUUCAAUCUGGCAGGGGGUUCUACGCGUGUUUGGUUCAAUCUGGCAGGGGGUUCUCCGUCUCUGUCUCUGUGUGUGUGUGUGUGUUGCUUUGACGGUGAUAAUGUUCAUACAGGGGUCUGUGUGGUUGGCAUGGUCAACUAAAUCAUACCUGAUGGACGGCCACAUGUCUACUUGAGGCCUCAGUAGACAUGAGCCCUGCGCGACGCUCCGGAGCGAUAUCCAACACACUGGGCAGGGAGGAGAGUAUCCAACUCAAGUGUAAAAGGAUGCAAGCGGCGUGUUCAGAUCAGUGACUUCAAACUAGGACUACACCAACCAGGAUCAAUGGAGGAUGGACACCUAAAGGCAUUCCACAAGGAGAGUCUGGUGUUGGAAAGGGACCGCAAUGGAUAUUCAAGAUGACCUUCAUAGUGAUGAGGCGGCUCUUCCUACCUGGCUGGAUUGAUGGAGAGCCCUGUGGAUCUUGUCAGUUGCACGUCUUCUCAGGCUGAACUGUAUUUGUUUCGGACAGGACUAGCUGAACGAUUGGUUCCCUUAAAUCAGAACCAAUCUGGGAACUCCAACUAGUGCGCUCUUCAAGCUGAAGUUGUGCUCUUCAGCUGAGGCGGUAAGGAAACCUUCACUGGGGCUUCAAGGUGUAUAGAGGAGAACGUUUCAAAGUGUUCCAUGGUACUCUGAUGAAGACCGUUGUUGUGUUCAACUGGCUGAGAGGAAGAACCCUCACAUCCUUCUCUUGGCCUUUCUCCUCUGAGAAUCCUGGCGCCCUCUUGAAGGAUAUUCCAGCUCUUGUAACUGAUGUCACGACAGAUUCUCAAACUUGGUUUCUCCUGAGGGGUGUGUCAAUAGAACUGAAGACUUCACACAGCACUGUAUGCCAGCAUGCAUCUCUGCUCACUCAGACCACACCCUCAUAAGUAGGAUGCAACACGCACAAUGGCAUGUCAAGUCUAUCAUCUUUAAUUCUUUAAACCAAGAAGAUGGUUGGAUAGUUCAGGAAUUAGGCUUCAUUUUAUUAUGGGCAGUCCUUUCGCUCAAAUGUCCACUUCUCACUGGACCUGUACAUGUGUUGGCUGGCUGGCAUGAUUUGCUGUUGGUGAUGAGGCGGUCAGGCUGACGUUGCAGGGCUAUGGUCAGCUCUCUUUGAGCUCAACGUUUAGAUUUGCUCUGUAUGGUUUCUACCCUGAAUAAUCUAGAAAAUUGUUCUGUUUAUUGUAAAAUGUAGACACGGUUUCGUAUUUAAUUAUUCCAUUGUUUUUAGGUAAGGAUUUGAGGUUUAAAGUUGUUGUGGGACGUACAUGGUAGUUUGGUUCUUCGUACGGUUUUGAGUGAUCAUAUAACUUGUACACACUGGGUGCAUAAUAAUUUAAAGGUACACUGAAUAGUAAUGACCAACAUUAACAAACAGACAUCAAGGUAAGUCUGUUGUCUGUGUUUUAAUGAAGACCAUCGCUGAACUUCAGGAUCUUCCUCCGUUCAGCUCAAGGUGUCUGCCUCCUCACCCUGAGCAAGACCUCCACCUCCUCACCCAGAGCCACACCUCCACCUCCUGUCCUCCAGAACAGCUGAAAGGCGAGGCUGAGAGGCUGGGGACCGGAGGCUUGUGGUGCCAGGAUGGACCGGAGACUGAGGCUGGAGACCAGGGGCCUGCAGCACCGGACCAGAGGACCAGGAAUCCAUGGCUGAAGGAGCUGAUGGAGGAGCCGUGCUGAAGGCCCUGCCUUGUGGAGGAGCUGAUGGAGGCCCUGCCUGGGGGAGGUGCUGAUGGUGGCCCUGCCUGGUGAAGGAUGUCUUUCCUGGGGCAGAUGGAGCCUGACUCUGAAGACUCUGUCUGAGGAGAGCUGUUGGAGGAGCUGAGACGCUGGAAUAGAUCAACAAGGAUUCCUCAACGUGUUUCUGGAGCGGAGGCGAGCUGAUAAGGGAGCCGUGAAUCUGGAGGAUGACAUCACACUACCAAGAAGGAUUACCAGGACUCUGGCUGAGGAGAGCUGAUGGAGGAGCCAAGGCUCUGGAGGACGACGUCACGUUACCAACAAGGAUCCUCGUCAAUUUGCAUAAAACCAGGAAUCUGGAUGACUGAUGGAGAAGCUGUACAUCUGGAAGGCAAAUCCUGAGGACAACCAGGACUCUACCAUCAAGGAUUCCUCACACACCUGAGCUGAACCUCACCUGAUCCUGGUUGGUCGGGGGCAGACACACCUGAGCUGAACCCCACCUGAUUCUGACAUCCUGCUGGUCCCGUCUCCUCAGUUCAUCUGAGCCUCGUCCUCCAGAAGACCUGUUGAGCUCAGCGGUCUGAGGCUGAUGGAUCAAUGACCUCCAGUGGGAGUGAUCUUCUUGACCCCACAUCUAGCCGUGUGCUUCCACACGCCUUUCUCUCACAUCUGUCACUAACCUCACUACUUCCCUACCCUCUACUCCUUCCCCUUCUUCUUCCUUCUCCGUGGUUCGAACCUUUACUCUGAAGGAGUGUCUUCUUGAACUUAUACACUGAAGGAACGUCUUCCUGCCCUCAGAGGGUUCAGCGUUAGGGUUGAGGUCAGGGUUUAGAGUCAGGGUCAGACAGAGCUGGUCAGAGCUGGUCAGGGAGGACUGGUUUUACACAAACCUCUUCACUUGCUUUCUGAAUGGUGGUGACAUUUUGAAACGAUUCAUUUGGGAAAAUGUUUUCCUCUGCUUUCCUUUGCAUAAAUAUGUAUUAAACUUCUGUCAAGUGUUUUUGUUUAUAUAUUAAAAUCCUACAUUGACUUCUGCAUGCUUGGUGCGGUUCAUUUAAUUGUCCUUUAACUUGGUUAAUGUCAAGCUAAACUCCUGCAAUACAUUUAAUAUACAUGAUGAAUGUUAUUCUGCAAUGUUCACAUAAUCCAUUUUGUAAAAAUAUAUUAAAUCCAUAUUGCUAGUUUCAAGCCUAUUC